rnacentral:rRNA from 1 species
CCUACGGGAGGCAGCAGUGAGGAAUAUUGGUCAAUGGCCGCAGGGCUGAACCAGCCAAGUCGCGUGAGGGAUGACGGUCCUAUGGAUUGUAAACCUCUUUUGUCAGGGAGCAAAGGGCGCCACGUGUGGCGUUUUGAGAGUACCAGAAGAAAAAGCAUCGGCUAACUCCGUGCCAGCAGCCGCGGUAAGAUGGAGGAUGCGAGCGUUAGUCGGAUUUAUUGGGUUUAAAGGGUGCGCAGGCGGAAUGCCAAGUCAGCGGUAAAAGUUCGGGGCUCAACCCCGUCGUGCCGUUGAAAGUGGCGUUCUUGAGUGAGCGAGAAGUAUGCGGAAUGCGUGGUGUAGCGGUGAAAUGCAUAGAUAUCACGCAGAACUCCGAUUGCGAAGGCGGCAUACCGGCGCUCAACUGACGCUCAUGCACGAAAGCGUGGGUAUCGAACAGGAUUAGAUACCCCAGUAGUC